rnacentral:rRNA from 1 species
AGAGUUUGAUCAUGGCUCAGGACGAACGCUGGCGGCGUGCUUAACACAUGCAAGUUGAACGGUAUGUCAUGGAAGCUUGCUGAAGUGACAUAUAGUAGCGAACGGGUGAGUAAUGCAUGAGAAUUUAUCCUUAGGAGGGGGACAACAGCUGGAAACGGCUGCUAAUACCCCGUAUGCCGGAAGGUGAAAGGUGCGAGAGUGCCGCCUGGGGUUGAGCUCAUGUCCUAUCAGCUAGUUGGUGGGGUAACGGCCUACCAAGGCGACGACGGGUAGCCGGCCUGAGAGGGUGAACGGCCACACUGGAACUGAGACACGGUCCAGACUCCCACGGGAGGCAGCAGUGGGGAAUUUUGGGCAAUGGGGGAAACCCUGACCCAGCGACGCCGCGUGAGGGAAGACGGCCUUCGGGUUUUAAACCUCUUUUGUACGGGAAGAUAAUGACGGUACUGUACGGAUAAGUCCCGGCUAACUACGUGCCAGCAGCCGCGGUAAUACGUAGGGGACGAGCGUUGUCCGGAAUUACUGGGCGUAAAGGGCGCGCAGGCUGCGUUACAAGUCAGCUGUUAAAUGCAUGGGCUUACCCCAUGAGUGCGGUUGAAACUGUAGUGCUAGAGUACUGUAGAGGCAAGCGGAAUUCCCAGUGUAGCGGUGAAAUGCGUAGAUAUUGGGAGGAACACCGGUGGCGUAGGCGGCUUGCUGGACAGUAACUGACGCUGAGGCGCGAAAGCCAGGGGAGCAAACGGGAUUAGAUACCCCGGUAGUCCUGGCCGUAAACGAUGAAUGCUAGGUGUGGGUGUAGCGAUACAUCUGUGCCGUAGUUAACGCGUUAAGCAUUCCGCCUGGGGAGUACGAUCGCAAGAUUGAAACUCAAAGGAAUUGACGG